rnacentral:snoRNA from 1 species
AUUCCAUGAUGAGGGCAUUUCUGUAAUAGCUCUUUGUAUCAUUUCCAUGCCUCAUACAAGGACUCAUCAUCCAUUUGUUGGAAAGUAGUGAUCUCGUUCCUCAACUU